GGGCGCACGACUUGAUUGACUGCUUUACGAACGCUUUCAAUGAGGGACGGGGGGGAGGAACUGGGAAAACUGCGAUAACAGUGCAUGCAUGCGUCCGAAAGCUUCGGACGUGUUUCUGCAUGUCUUAUUUCUCCCUCACUUACUGAGCUUACAUACAUAUGUAUUUACAUACAUACAUAUGAAAGGUAGGUCACGAAAGUUGUGAGAAGAGUGCAGCAGCGUGGGCAUCUCGCAUCUUCCUUCUCUUCCAGCAAAAGGGCGAAAGUUGAUGGCCGAACAAAUUACCACUCUCUCACUCACUAUUUAAGCAGUUUUUCUGUUCUCACUGGCCAAUUACACUGACGUCAAGUGUUUCUGUUUGAUCUUAGACACCUCACAAAAACAGAAAAAAAAAAUAUUAUAAAAAUAUAUUAAAUAAAAUAAAA
rnacentral:lncRNA from 1 species